UGUAAGCGUAUACCAAAGUUGUUGCAGUUAAAACGCUCGUAGUCGGAAUUUGGCAGUUCCGGAUAUGUGCACGUCGUGUGCGCACUUCGCGGGGAUUGCUUUUGUGGUCUUGCGUAGGAUGAGGCACUUUUAUUAGUGAACGUCCUCACGCAACCACUUUUUACUGUGAGAAAAUCAGAGUGCUCAAAGCAGGCAUUUGCCGUGGAUGUAUUAGCAUGGAAUAAUAGAAUAGGACUUGGUUCUAUUUUGUUGGUUUGUUGGGACUGAGUAAUGAUUAAGAGGGACAGUUGGGGGCAUUUGUAUUUCGGUGCUAGAGGUGAAAUUCUUAGAUUACCGAAAGACAAACUGCUGCGAAAGCGUCUGCCAAGGAUGUUUUCAUUGA
rnacentral:rRNA from 1 species